ACCAUUAGCUGUCACAAUUGACAGAUGUCAUUUUUUUGAUAAAUGGACGGCGGUAUGGCUGGCUCACGAACACGUGGUUUGCGGGAUGAAGAAAUCCAAGCCUUUAUGGGCGAUGGUAACCUGGACAAUUCGGAGUUUGAAGAUGACGGAGAAGCGGAUGCAGAUUUUACAAUAGAUCAUGGAGACAACGCAGACAAUAGCUAGUCAUUUAAUUGAAAAAUAACUGUUAUUUAAUUGAAAAAUAACUGAAAUAAACAUAUUAAUCCUAAAAAA